UACGUAGGGUGCAAGCGUUGUCCGGAUUUAUUGGGCGUAAAGAGCGUGUAGGCGGUUUGGUAGGUCCGCUGUGAAAACUCGAGGCUCAACCUCGAGACGCCGGUGGAAACCAUCAGGCUAGAGUCCGGAAGAGGAGAGUGGAAUUCCUGGUGUAGCGGUGAAAUGCGCAGAUAUCAGGAAGAACACCCGUGGCUAAGGCGGCGUCUCUAGUACGGUACUGACGCUGAGACGCGAAAGCGUGGGGAGCGAACAGG
rnacentral:rRNA from 1 species